rnacentral:rRNA from 1 species
UUGAACGCUGGCGGCAUGCCUUACACAUGCAAGUCGAACGGCAGCACGGACUUCGGUCUGGUGGCGAGUGGCGAACGGGUGAGUAAAGCAUCGGAACGUACCCGAUCGUGGGGGAUAACGCAGCGAAAGCUGCGCUAAUACCGCAUAAGAUCUACGGAUGAAAGCGGGGGACUCGCAAGAGCCUCGCGCGAACGGAGCGGCCGAUGUCAGAUUAGGUAGUUGGUGGGGUAAAGGCCCACCAAGCCGACGAUCUGUAGCUGGUCUGAGAGGACGACCAGCCACACUGGGACUGAGACACGGCCCAGACUCCUACGGGAGGCAGCAGUGGGGAAUUUUGGACAAUGGGCGCAAGCCUGAUCCAGCCAUGCCGCGUGCAGGAAGAAGGCCUUCGGGUUGUAAACUGCUUUUGUACGGAACGAAAAAGCCCUGGCCAAUACCCGGGGCUAAUGACGGUACCGUAAGAAUAAGCACCGGCUAACUACGUGCCAGCAGCCGCGGUAAUACGUAGGGUGCAAGCGUUAAUCGGAAUUACUGGGCGUAAAGCGUGCGCAGGCGGUUUU